GAGGGCUGCGAGCACUAGAAGAUGAGUAGGUGCCUUUCGGGAACUGUGAGACAGGUGCUGCAUGGCUGUCGUCAGCUCGUGUUGUGAAAUGUUGGGUUAAGUCCCGCAACGAGCGCAACCCUUAUCCUUUGUUGCCAGCGGUCCGGCCGGGAACUCAAAGGAGACUGCCAGUGAUAAACUGGAGGAAGGUGGGGAUGACGUCAAGUCAUCAUGGCCCUUACGACCAGGGCUACACACGUGCUACAAUGGCGCAUACAAAGAGAAGCGACCUCGCGAGAGCAAGCGGACCUCAUAAAGUGCGUCGUAGUCCGGAUUGGAGUCUGCAACUCGACUCCAUGAAGUCGGAAUCGCUAGUAAUCGUGGAUCAGAAUGCCACGGUGAAUACGUUCCCGGGUCUGU
rnacentral:rRNA from 1 species